rnacentral:rRNA from 1 species
GAUGAACGCUGGCGGCGUGCCUAAUACAUGCAAGUCGAGCGAACAGACGAGGAGUUUGCUUCUCUGACGUUAGCGGCGGACGGGUGAGUAACACGUGGAUAACCUCCCUAUAAGACUGGGAUAACUUCGGGAAACCGGAGCUAAUACCGGACAAUAUAUUGAACCGCCUUGUUCAAUAGUGAAAGAUGUUUUUGCUGUCACUUAUAGAGGGAUCCGCGCCGGAUGAGCUAGUUGGUAAGGUAACCGCCUUCCAGGGCAACGAUGCGUGGCCGACCUGGGAGGGUGAUCGGCCACACUGGAGCUGAGACAGGGACCAGAGUCCUGCGGGAGGCAGCAGUAGGGAAUGUGAGGCAGUGGGCGAAAGCCUGACGGAGCGAGGCCGCGUGAGUGACAGAGGUGUUGGGAGCGUAAAACUGUGUUAUGAGGGAAGAACAAAUGUGUAAGUAAAUAUGCACGUCGUGACGGUACCUGAAGAGAAAGCGACGGCUAACUACGUG